rnacentral:rRNA from 1 species
GGACUACAGGGGUUUCUAAUCCCGUUUGCUCCCCUGGCUUUCGCGCCUCAGCGUCAGUAAGAGCCCAGCGGACCGCUUUCGCCACCGGCGUUCCUUCCGAUAUCAACGCAUUUCACCGCUCCACCGGAAGUUCCGUCCGCCCCUACUCCCCUCGAGCCGUCCGGUCUCCGAGGCACUUCCCCAGUUGAGCUGGGGGCUUUCACCCCGGACUCGGACGGCCGCCUACGCGCCCUUUAAGCCCAGUGAUUCCGAACAACGUUCGCACGGUUCGUCUUACCGCGGCUGCUGGCAC